UCUUCUGUGGCUCAGUCAGUAGAGCAUUGUACUUGCAUUCCAAAGAUCAUAGGUUCGUACCCCAGGGAAA